UCAUACUAAUACAAAUUUGUGUCCAGAGGCAAAACCAGGGGGGUCGGGGGGUCAUAUGACCCCCUUGGAAUCUCUGGCGGCGGGGGAGAGUUUGGAGGACUUUCCGUUCGGUCAUGCCUAGGAUAAGAGUUGGAGGGGGGAGUCUGCAGGUGUUUGGGUUUGGAUCUUGAUGUUCGGUUAGGGUUUAGACUUUAGAAGAGGAUAUGUUGGGUCGUGUUGUUCUUCUCUGUUUCUUCUUGGGCAUUCUGUGGGUGUUUGUUUACAGAUCUUAAUUUAGUUUAAUUUGUUUAUCUAUAUCUUUUUCAGAUCCGGAUGUUUUGGAAGCUUUGUUGUUGAGCUUUCUGGUUUGAUUUUGUUGAUUCCCAACCGUGUUGGAUGCUUCGGAUCUGUCUUGUUUAAUCAAUGAUGGAACCAAAUAUGAUUGGCGUCAUUUUGAUUCUACCUUUUUUCCGAUCUGGAUCCUUUGUAUUUAUUGUUUCUUAAGGGUUUAGAUUUGGAUGUUUGUUAGUUUGUCUCGUCGGAAUAUGGGUUUAUCCUAUGAUUCCGGUGGUUUUGGGUUGUUGUUUUGAUUUUCCAUGCUGAUUUCCCUUACGUUGCUGCCUAAUUUAAUAUGUGGAAUCAGUUCAGUGUCUAUGGUUGUGCUUCUGGUUGGCUCAUGUUAUGUCACUCUUCUUGAGAGUUUUGGUCGGAGGUUGGGUUGCUGUCGAAUUUGUCGUCGGUAUCUGUUUUCACUGGUGGUAGAGCACGGGUGUUUGUGCAGUGUGCUAAUGACUUUUGGCUGACAUGGGACCCACAGGUAUUUCCAAAUUUCAAAUUGCUGACGUACAUAUUUGGUUUCAACUCGUGGGUUACUCAAUGUGGGUUCAUUCCGAUUGUUUGUUUUUGUUAGGGUUAAAUAGAAUUUUAUUUAUAAUUAAGAUUUAUUAUUGUUAAAUUUUUGGAGGCCACUCCUAAAAAAUAUGGUUGAAGUACUACUACUCCUAAAAAGAAAGGUUGAACUACGAUUUUGUCUUAUUUAUUAUACUAACCCUUAAACCCGUGCAAAACACCAAUUUGGUGGGCAUACAUUAAUUACCUUACUUUUAUUUUAUUUUAUAAUUCUUUAUUUUAUAAUUCUAUAUAGUAAAAUUAAAAAAUGCAUGUCCAUGUAUUUUUUUUAAGGAUAAUAAGUUACUAAUCCAUAUCAAAUUGUUUAUCAUUUGCAUUUUUUUAUUGUACACGUAUAUAAAAACAUUUGUUAUUCAAUAUUAGAUCAAUUGUAAGCUAAUUUAAAGUUUUUCUAUAUAUUUAAAAUUGAUGCAAUUCAUUAUUAUUUAUAAACAAUAAAUUUUGUAUAUGUAGGCGCAUAUUAUUUAAGUAUGUGUGAUUUAAUACUUAUCAUGACUUCGCCUUGAUUUGACCAAUAAAUAGCUAGCAUAUAUAUAUAAUAAUUGUAAGUUCUUGCAAUAAUUUUUGCCAAGGAAAAUUUAUUGCAAUCUUAAUUAUUUUCUCAAUAAAUACUUAUUCCAACCUUAAUAAACUCACAAGACCAAACCAAAUCAACAAUUGCCCUCCUUUUGUCUCUUUAUAUAAUGUUAUUAUUAUAAACCAUUUACUACUAUUUACAAACAAUAAAUUUUAAAAAUGUCACCGCCUAUUAUUAAGUGUGUGGUUUAAUACUCGUCAUGGCCGCACCUUGAUUUGAAAGAAUAAAUAGCUAGCAUUAGGGGUGCUCAAAAUUUUUGGUUUUUUCGAUUUUUUAUCAAUACUGACAGUAGCAGUAGCGGUAGCAGUUUUUUCGAUAGCGAUUUUUUUCGGUACCGAUUUUUCGAUAUUUUAACACUUUUCAAUACCGGUAGGGUAAUGACUUUUUUGAAUUCGGUAAAAACCGAAAUAUCGAAAAUACUGAAAUUUAAUAAUUUAAUAAUUAAUAGUUAAUAUUUUGUAAUUUUAUAUAUUAAAUAAUUUUUUAUAUAUUAAUAAUUUCUAUAUAAUAGUAAUUUUAUUAAUUUUUAUAUAUAUAUUAAUAAUGGUUUGUAGUUUAAUUUUAUAUAUUAAUUAUUAUUAAUAGUUAAUGAUUUCUUAGUUUUUUAAAAAAAGUAUUAAUAUAUAUAAAAAAUUAUUUAAUUAUUAUUAAUAAUUAUAUAUAUUAUCAUGCGGUAUAAUCGAAAAUUGAACCGAAAAAAUCAGUACCGAUUUUGUACCGAAAUCGAUAAUUCGGUACCGGUUUCGGUUCUUGUUUUUCCGAUAAUUUCGGAUCGGUACCGGUUAGAUAUUUUUGGUAUCGAUUCGAUUUUUUACCGAUGAGCACCCUUAGCUAGCAUAUAUAUAUAUUAACCGUAACUCCAUGUAAUAAUUUCUAUUUGUGUCUUUUUAUAUACUCCCUCUGUCCCAUGAUAAAAGUUAUUAUUACUAUUUUGAGUAAUCCCAUGUUAAAUGUCCAUUUUCUUUUAAUAAUCAAAUUUUUACACAUAUUUUUCUAUUAUACCCGUAGCAUUAAAUAUCUCAUACUUUUUUAUUCUAAUUCUCUCUCUAUAUUUAAUGAUAUUAUUAUUGACAAUUUUGUCAUUUUAUUCAUCUUCUUAAUAUGCGUGAAAAGACAACUAUAACUAUUAUCUUGGGACGGAGGGAGUAUUAAUAUAGAUUACUAAGAUAUAUGAGAUGAAACUUGAAUUAAUUCUAUUUCUCUAUAUAUUUGUCCAAAUAUUUUUCACCUUCUUCCCUAGUACUUCCAAAGAGAUUGAUAAAUAAAAAUAAUACUUUUCUUACCAAUAAUGUAUAUGUGAACGGACUACUCCCUCCGUUCCUAAAAAAUUAUCGUUUUAGAAGAAAAAAUUUAUUCCAAAAAGUUUAUCGUUUACAACUUUCGAGGAGAAUAAAUUAUUUAUUUUCCUAUAUUACCACUACUUUCUCUCAUUGUCCCAAGAAAUUAUCUCUCUUGUAUUAAUAGUUUUCAACUUCCCACAAAGGGGUAGUGAUGGAAUUUCAAAUAAAUUUUACUUGGUAAAUGAUACUUUCUUAAUCCAUGUGUCAAAACCUUAAAUGACAAUUUUUUAAGAACGGAGGGAGUAAUAUAUAUAUAUAUAUAGAUAUACGGUCCGGAUCUUAAGUUCAUCCCUUAUCUAACUCACCUUGUUCACCCUCCUUUAGCUACGGACUGGGCGACGAUUCGGUCCGUCGCUAUAUGUAGAACCGUUGUCUUAACUUUUAGCGACGGACAACAUAUAGUGACGGACCGAAUCGUCGCCCGGUCCGUCGCUNNNNNNNNNNNNNNNNNNNNNNNNNNNNNNNNNNNNNNNNNNNNNNNNNNNNNNNNNNNNNNNNNNNNNNNNNNNNNNNNNNNNNNNNNNNNNNNNNNNNUUAACGGCUUGGAUUAAUAAGGAGACCAGACCAUCCGCUAGAAUAACUAGCGGAUUGGAUUAAUGAGAAACUCGGACGAUUAUGCCCCCAAUUGAAGCCUAAGUCAAAUCAAUUUUUUAAAUGGUUCAUUAGCGGACGACUUAGUUUUUAACUUAUUACUAGAAUUCAUUUCCGAGUCAGGGGCAGACCUAUGUUUGGGCAGCAUAGACACCUGCAUAUGCGGAGAUUUUGUUUUUGAGUCCUUCUAGGGGGACAUUUUUUGUUGACGUUGUUAGCGACAUUUUUUGAUUUUUUUUUUUUUUGUAGUACCUCUCAAAAAAUAUAUAGUAUUUAUUCCAACUAAAUUUUUUGUGAAAAACAGUAUUUUAGGUGUAAUUUGGAUACAGAGAAGAAACAAGGUUGUACAGACUGUACAGACCAUGUUUCUUGUAUGUAUACAAAUUACACCUAAAACACUAUUUUUUACAAAAAAUUCAGUUGGAAUAAAUACUAUACAUUUUUUGAGAGGUACUACAAAAAAAACCAAAAAAUAAUAAUUAAAAAAUGUCGCUAACAAUGUCAACAAAAAAUGUCCCCUAGAAUUAUUCUUUUUUUUAAGAUAAAGGGGAGGGCAGAUAUAUAAUUUAAUAAAUUAAAUGGGGCAGAUUAAUGGAAGAGUUAUAUUUAGAAGAGGCAAAAAAUAUAUAUUUUUCUCUUAAUUUUAAAAUUUAAAUGAAUCUAUUUUUUAGUUUCCAUUUGAGUUGCAAAUUUGCUAAUCUACUUUCUCUCUGCUGAUGAAGAAAGACACAUAUUUUAUAUUAAAAUAUUUUAAGUUGACUUCAAAAAGUUAAAAUUAAAGAGAAUAUAUUUUAUUGUUCCAAUGAGAUGAAGUAAUUUUAGAUGAAAUGUACUACUCCCUCCGUACCCAUAAAGGAUGGCUAAAUGUAUAAUUUUUUGUGUUUCAAAAAAGGUGAGAUAAAAUAUAUAAAGUGAAUGGUACAUAUGUUAUUUAGUGGGGUCUAUUAAUAUAAAAAAAAUAAAAAUAUUCAUUACUUAUUGUAAUCUUGUGGAGUCACUAAGGAUAAAUUUAGAACUUUUUUAUUCUCUUUUCUCUGCUUCUAUUUUUCUUAAUAUGUGUGCAAAUUUUAUUUUGUUCAUCUUUUUCGGGACGGAGGGAGUAGUUUAUAACUUUGAUAUAUUUAGUUUAGACAUUUUUGAGACUUUUUUUCACUUCAAUCAUUAUUUUGAAAAUUAUUUGUGUUAUUCAUUAGUUAUUUUUGUGAUUGAUCUUUUUUUAAAAAAAAACUUUUUUAUUAAUUUGUUUAAAAGGAUUAAGAAAAGAAUUAAGAAGAUUGUGGCAGUGCAGAGUUUCCUUUGAAUUGAUUAGUUUUCCGACAAUUAACUAGGUUAGUUGGCUCCCCCGUGAUAAAUUACAUGGAUUAAAAGUUGUCGACUACAAGUAACCAACUGGAAAUUAAGGACUAGCCAUGAAUCGGUUAACAAGUUCUUGUUGAAGAUUCAUGUCAAUAAAGUGAUUUGAAAUUAAUGUCAUGCAAGUUGUAUCUUUUAAGCUAAUUAAACUAUUUAUGCAUGUUUGUUAUGAUUAGUUUUUAAACCUAUUGAGUUCUCACUUUUAUAGUGUACAUAUUACCUCCAUUUAUUUAAUUAACUAAUGGUUUUUAAUUCAUAUUAAAAUUUUAUGACUAAAUAAUUUACAUUACUAUAUAAAUUGAUAUGUUACCAAGUAUAUGUUGAUGCAAAUCAAUUGUAAUGUUUGUUUCUAUAUCAAAAUAAGCCACUAUUUUUAUAAAAAAAAUAGAUAAAAAGAAAAAAAAUGUAGAAUCAUAUUUGUACAUAAACCAAGCGAAACUCAAAGUGGUAAUGAGACCAGUGACGAAUACGACCACAGUUAACUGUGAGUUUUAAUACAAAUGUAUGUAACUCUCAUGGUGCUUCGACCACAACCUUACAAUGGUACUUUACAUAAAAGUAUAGUCAAAAAUUAUUUUAGAAAUUAAAAUCUUUGGGAAGUGCUCAAGGAAACCUUCGUACAUGGGAGACCAUGCGUCUAGGUUAUAAUAGAUAUCAUAUGGCCACAGAAUUAUCCUUGGUUGACCCAAUAGAUCCCAAAGAAAAACGAGAAGAUUACUAUUAUCUUCUUUUCAAUAGUGAGUCUUCUCUUGAUAUAUAACUAUCUCCACUGUUUCCAAGUGAAUAUUAUAUUUUAAAUCAACUCCAAGAUCAUAUAGGUAGUGCCCGUAGAUAUACU
rnacentral:lncRNA from 1 species